rnacentral:lncRNA from 1 species
CUCAAUAUUCAUACGACUAGAAAUAUUUAGGAUUAGAAUUUUAAGGUUUUAAGUUUUACAAGUAUGAACUCUUCACGGCCCUAAAAUCAUUAUUCUAAUCCAUGGGGUUCAUCAUAAUCUUUAACAUAAUAAGAUGUAGUUGAAAUGAUGAAUCAUGCCUCAUUUCAUUAACUAAUAAAUAAUGUUAUAUGAGUUGAAAAUUUACAAAAAAAAGUUCCAUCACAUCACUC